CCUACGGGCGGCAGCAGUGAGGAAUAUUGGUCAAUGGUCGGGAGACUGAACCAGCCAAGCCGCGUGAGGGAUGAAGGUACAGAGUAUCGUAAACCUCUUUUGUCAGGGAACAAAGGCGGGGACGUGUCCCCGGAUGAGUGUACCUGAAGAAAAAGCAUCGGCUAACUCCGUGCCAGCAGCCGCGGUAAUACGGAGGAUGCGAGCGUUAUCCGGAUUUAGUGGGUUUAAAGGGUGCGCAGGCGGUAUGUUAAGUAAGCGGUCAAAGCUCGGGGCUCAACCCCGGCCCGCCGUUGAAACUGGCAGUCUCGAGUUGGAGAGAAGUAUGCGGAAUGCGCGGUGUAGCGGUGAAAUGCAUAGAUAUCGCGCAGAACUCCGAUUGCGAAGGCAGCAUGCCGGCUCCACACUGACGCUGAGGCACGAAAGCGUGGGUAUCGAACAGGAUUAGAUACCCCUGUAGUC
rnacentral:rRNA from 1 species